AACCGAAUACCAACAUAACGUAUCUUUUCAUUUUAUUCUAUCAUAGAUAACUGAGCCGGAAGGCUGCUGCGAGUUAAGAAUACAACAUGUGAUACCAAUUUAUACAUAAGACAUACGGGCCUAUAAGGCCAAAAUAACGACCUGUAUACUGAACAUAAGCCGACAAGGCCAUACAAUUUUUUACGUACAUAACGUCUGUCUACAAGCCUCUAAAAAUACAUAAUUUUCAUAAAGUUCGGGACAGAGCCCUGCCAUACCAAACAGUACACGUCUAAAUCAUACUAACCAAACAAACAACUCCGAAGCAAAUUGAGCGCACCAACAUCUUCCGCUGAGCUGAUAGCCUACUUGGAGGACUCUAGACCUGUCUGUCGGGACCUGCAGGCAUGAAACAUAACAUCUUCAGGUAAAAGGGAUGUCAGCACGAAUAAUGUACCGAGUAUGUAAGGCACAUAAAUAAGUACAUAACAGACAUGGAAGAAAUAUAGAGUAAAUAACUUAACCUGUAAGUCUGGAAAACUUUGUAAAUCAUGAAAUACUUAUAGUGUCAUGCAUAUGCAUAUGAAUAUCAUGUUGUGCAUAGGUACAUGUUAUAUAACAUCAUCAGCCUCUGAGGGCAUUCCAUCAUAUCAUCUCGGCCACUGUGGGCAAAAUCAUCAACAUAUACAAGCUGAUCAGGUGGUGGUGCGUACAUAACGCCGUAACUUUUUCCCAUAUCCCAUAUAUAUAUACGUGUAUAUAACAUCAUCUGAUCAUGGGUCAAUAUAAUGGAUGAGAUGAGAAGUACGUUAAUAAAAUCUUUCGGAAUAUCAUAAGACCAUUAUGUCUUUGAGUAAUAUCAUGAAGUAAACUUUUUCAACUUACGUAUUUUUCGGAGACCUAUGAACAGAAGAUAAAAUAAUAGGACACAUGGGAAUUUAAGAACGUAGGCAUUUCUAAUACUUCUAUGAAUAGAGUCAUUUGUGGAAGUUGUGCAUUUGCUCAUUUCGUUUGUAUCGUAUGGAUCAUGCCAAGAGAAAGAAGGAAUAUCCUUAACAUACAUGAACCAAUUCUCUUUUGCAGAAACACAUAACAACGGAUUGAAGUAAGGAAAAAUUCGUAUAAUAUUCUUGAGAAAGAUUGUACCGGGCUUUUUUUUGAAUUAGCAUAACACGUUGGAACAAAUUAUAAGCAACAAGGCGAUACAAGAAAGAUAUGUGGCAAAAAAUUGUUAUAAUGUAAGGUUUUGGACAUUCACAGAACGAAAAGAAAAUUCCUCCAAAACUAAGUAUUUUAACUCUUGAUUUUGACUUUCACUUUUGGAAUCCAUUUGGUAGAAAGGAUCAUAAAUGGUUGAUAGUUAAAUCUUUAAGAAUGCUAACGUUUCCCUCCACCCACACUUCUGACGGUAACCUUUAAUAUGGAAAAUGUUUUGAAAUGAAAUGAAUGUGUAAACUUUCUCAUUAGUUUGUCACUUCAUACUCCUUAAUGUGACACAUAUACCAAAUGACUAAUGAGUCAUUGUCCAAGAAUUGGCUCACUGCCACGUUGGGUGGAUUUAAAGUUAUCCAAACUUUAUCCACAUAUUUCCUUAAUUACAUGGUUAAUCUUCUACCAAAAAUCCACAAUUAACCAAAUAUCCAAAUAAUUAAGAAUUAUCUCCACUUACUUAAAAUAUUACUUACUUUUCACAUACCUUAUAUACCUUACUAUCAUGGCCAUGUGGUACUUUAUAUGGUACUAGUCCAUAAAUAUCGGGUAUUUUAGCUCGGGCCGUAUUUUAUCCCAACAUGCCAAACUUGGACGAAAAUUCAUUUUCUUUGACUUGCUUAUCCUCUCACCUUCACGAAUUUACUUAUAACUUAUUUGAAAUAGCAUAAUGCUCAUAAUUUCCAAAUAAUCUUUUCCUUGGACUGAUGUCCAUUGCCUUACGAUAAAUUUAAUGUACAAUACUACAGGGUGCAACAUCGUCAUAAUUUAAUACUGCGAAGCGUAACAUCAUCGUAAUGUAAUAUUGCAAGGCAUAACAUCAUCGUAAUAUAAUACUGCAUGACGUAACAUCAUUGUACUAUAAUACUAUAGGACGUAAUAUCGAUGUAAUAUUGCGGGGUGUAACAACUAUUUUCCACUAGCACAUGUAUCGAAUAAGCAUCAAGAUUUCGGUAAAUAGAAAGAAAUCACAUAAUGUUUUUUGUCGAUGCUGAUAUUUGAACAAGAUAUACCUCAUAUUUUUCUUAGUUUCAUUAACACUUAACGACACAUUUUGAUGCAAGGACUAAAUCCUUAUUUAGUCAUACCAUUGAUUUUUAGUGGUUGUUUGUGUAUAUGUCGAAAUCUGUUUCAGCAUUUAGUGCAAAGUAACCUCACGGAAAGAGUCAGCCGAGGUCGAUCAGGAAAUAACAAGGCUCUUGGUCGGGAUGCAUACAAUUUUCGAGGUCGAGCAUCGCAAAAGAGCUGUAACGGCUAGUUUAUUAGAAUAGGAUAUUGAAGAAAAUAUUUCAGUGAAUAUUCUCUACAUAUUUACUAUUAGGGUUUAUUGGGGUAUUCCCAUAUAAAUAGAAACAAAAGGUCAAUGAAAAUGGCAUGUAAUAUUCAAUUGAUAAGAACACUUUUUUAGAGGAAGAUUCUCUCUCUAGCAAGGAUACAAACUUUACCUUUUCACCAACAUUCUUGCUUAUAUUAUUCCAUACUUUUCCAUCAGAUUCGAGAAUUAUCCAAACAUUCUAGGAUUUAUCUGUCACUCAUCAUUAUUAAAGGGAACACUCAUCUAGCUUAUUCAUUAUUGGGUGAAACAUUUCUCUUAUUUAAUACUUAAUAAUCAUUUGUUGUUAUUUAUAGCUAGUUACUCCUUCAUUUAUUCUCACAUCUAUUUGGAUAUUCAUUGAUUAUUAUUAUUAAUUCUCUGCCAUAUUUGUCUACGCGUUAACCACUUCUUCGGAGUUUGUAUCUGUGGAAAUUAUUGUUAACUAAGUUUAAUCCGUCAAUAAACAAGUAUAAUUAUUUAAUUCGGAAGUUAAUACUUUUUGGUCAAACAAUUUGGUACCGUCUGUGAGGAUUUCUUAGUUAAUUUUUUAGUUUUCUCUAGAUCUAUAGCUAACAUGGACUACUAACGUAAAAAAAAAACAAGAUCCCCUUUCCUUGUAUACACAGAUCUGAUAUGGUAGGUAACAGAGAAGAAAGAACGAGGAUAAUGGGCGACCUCAACCUCUUGAACACCAUCAAUGAGAUUUCUAAAGCAGAGGGCAAGGAUAUAACGCCCAAUACACCCCCCAGGCGAGGCGGAUCACCUCCUCAUUACAGCAUCACAAUAUCUCUUGGUAAAUGAGCUUCCACUUCUGUAGUGAAAGAGAUGCCACCAACAGUAAAAAAAACUCCCCGAAGCUUGGCUAAUUGACACGCUAUCCAGCAUCCUCCACAAGCCCACACAUGAUACGAUUGCAGAAAACGCAAGGACGUGUGUCAUACCACUAGAGAGUGAGCAGUAUGACCCAUUCCCUCCUCCAAUGACAGGUAUUGCUCAUAAAAUCGUUAAUAUGCAGAUGACGACACCCUCACAGCCAUUUUGAAAAAGAUGGAGGGAAUGGAGAAUGAGAACAAAACACUUCGGGACCAAAUGAGAGAAUAUCAAGAAAGGGUCGAUAAGAUGUCAGGUGCCCUAAAGCUCUUGCCAAAUAGAGAACAAUUCGGAGCUGCCCGCAUGCUCCAUUGGAACAUUCGAAGAAAUGGACGACAAGUUCGUAAUGGCCCAUGCUGGGGCCAAAAAGGCAGAGGCGAGAGUGAAUGACAUAUUCGCUAUCAAACAGUUGUCGGGAGAACGAUUGAGGGACUUCCUCGCCUGAUUCAACCGAGUAAGAAUGACCUUACCAAAUGUAUCGGAAGGAAUGGCCAUCGCAGCUUUCUAGAAUGGGUUGAGCAUAAAUGGUUCAAGGGCGAUAAGAAAGUUAUUAUGUCGGCUUAUGAAGCACCCCUCAACUACUUGGGAUGAAAUACACAAUGCAUAUUAUGCCGAGGUCCACGCAGACGAGGACGACCUCAAUGGGCCAACUCAUCGACUGACCUCGAUACAAGUCGAAUCCAGAAAAUAUCGAAGAAAUAAUAUCAGGAGGGACCUCGUAGCUCCGCGACCCAACAGGGAACGAAAUUUAUCAUAUGUCAGAACUGCUAUUGCAUUCUCAAAACGCCAUGAAGAGGUCCUACCUUGACCAAGAGCUGGGACUCACAAGAACGAAAGAGGUAUGUCCCCUAUUAUCCGCUCACAAUUUUUGUAUGUCACCUACAGAAAUAGUCUACGCCUUGGAGAAGCUCGGAUCUAAGGUGAAAUGGCCACAAAGGAUGAUGUUAGAACAGAAUACCAGAAAAUCAGAUGCCCUUUGCGAGUUCCAUCAAGAGCGAGGACACAAAAUCGAGAAUUGUAUCGCCCUAACAUAGGAGGUCAUAAACAUGCUAUGACAGGGACACGUCAAAGAGUUGCUGAGCGAUCGAGGAAGGACCAACUUCACUAGAGAACGCGAAUAACAUCAAGGACCACCAAAACCGCCCUCGCCAACUCGCACUGUCAACAUGAUCAUCGACGGCAACGACGAUGCUUCUAUCAAUAGCAUGAAGUUUAACACAACCCACAAGCUCAAACGGUCGAUCACCCACAAACGAUAUGACAAGCUCGAAGAGAGUAUCAUCUUCGAUAAGUCAGAUACCGAUGAUUUGGUUUUCCCUCACUAUGAUGCCCUUGUUAUCACUUUAUGAAUUCUAGAUACCGAUGUGAGACGCAAUAUGGUAGACGAUGGGAGCGAUGCGUGCAUUAUCCACCCUCGAGUACUUACACAAAUGAAACUCUAGGAUAAGAUAGUGCCACGUUGCAUCACACUAACGGGUUUUAACGAUGCAGUUGAGCGAACAUUGAUCCAGAGAAAUCACACUCCUCGUCCUGACUGGUGGCAUCACUUUGGAAACCAUAUUCCAUAUCAUGGACCAGGACACAACAUACAAUGCCAUAAUAGGGCGGCUAUGGAUACACGCCAUGAGAGUCACCCUCUUUUGCUUGUACCAAGUCAUCAAAUUCCCAAUUACAUGGGGAAUAUUUAUCAUAUGAGGGGAACAACGUACAUCUCGCGAAUGUUACCGCAUCACCCUAGAUUGUACGGUUGCUGAACAAGCAAAGGGCAAAGGAAAAAAGGCAUAACAAUCAACAGAGUUGAGGUCGAUAUAUAGUGAAAGCGAGGACAUCAUCAGAGACCCCGAUGUGGUAGAAGCAGUAAAAUCGACCAUUGAGGACCUCGACCCCAUUCAAUUAGACAGCAACGACCACAGCAAGAAAGCUUACAUCAGCUGCAAGCUUCAUGAACUAGGUAAAUUUCGUCAAUUCUUAACUGAUAAUGCAGACUUGUUUGCUUUUAGCCAUGCAAACAUACCAGGUAUCCCGAAGGAAAUCUCCACGCAAAAGUUGAACGUCGACCCAUUCCACCCCCAGUGAGGUAGGUUAGGCGUACCCCAUAAUAAAUGAUGCAGUACACGAAGAGGUUGAAAAGUUAUUGGAAAAUGGCUCUGUUAGGGAGUCAAAAUAUCCCCAAUGGGUGGCCAAUAUGGUCAUGGUGAAAAAGAAAAAUGGGAAGUGGCUAAUGCACGUAGACUUUACAAAUUCGAAUAAAGCAUGCCCCAAGGAUUCAUUUCCAUUACCUCAUAUCGACCAACUCAUCGACGCCAUGGCCGGGCACGAACUACUAAGCUUCUUGGACGCUUACUUGGGCUAUAAUCAGAUCCUCAUGGAAGAAGAAGAUCGGGAGAAAACAACUUUCAUUACCCAUCAGGGGAUGUACUGCUAUAGAGUCAUUCCCUUCGAACUGAAAAACGUAGGGGCAACAUACCAAAGGUUAGUAACAAAGAUGUUCAAAGACCAACUCGGUAAAACGAUGGAGGUUUACAUAGACGACAUGCUAGUCAAGUCCAAAAGAAAGGAAGAUCACAUCGUCCAACUAAGAGAGACCUUCGACAUACUCAGACAAUACAGAAUGAAACUGAACCCGAAAAAAUGUGCAUUUGGCGUGGCCUCAGGAAAAUUCUUAGGUUUCCUAGUAUCACAGCGAGGUAUCAAGGUCAAACCUGAUAUUAUCAAAGCCAUCGAAGGGAUACCAGAGCACUUGACCACCAGAAAACAUGUUCAGAGAUUGACUGGCCGCGUCGCCGCUCUUUCAAGAUUCAUCUCGCGAUCAUCGGAUAGGUGUCACAAAUUCUUCAGCAUGCUCAAGAAAGAUAACGGCCUCCAAUGGACUUCAGAGUGCGUUCAAGCCCUAAAGGACCUAAAAUCAUACUUGUCAUCACCACCACAAAGGCAAAGAUCAGGUCACUUAAAGUCGGGGACUACGUGCUCAAAGAUAAAACACAAGCAAGCAAAGACCCACGGGAAGGUAAACUGGGAACAAAUUGGGAUGGCCCAUACAAAAUCACAGCAACAACAAACAAAGGGUCAUUCCAACUAGAAACAAUGGAAGGAAAAUUAAUACCGAACAACUAGAAUAUCACCCACCUCAAGUACUUCAACUUCUUAAAAAAAGCAUCCUCCAAAUCAUACUUUUUUUUCCUUCGCUUGGGUUUUGUUCCAAUUGGGUUUUCUCAAGGAGGUUUUUAACGAGGCGAUGAAGAGGACACUUUAGGUUGAAGUGCGGACAGACGGAUGCACAGGAUGGCUAGUUAAUUGCUCGACUUCUCCAGCUCAACUAAUGAAGGGACCAAAUAGAUUGGAACUAGGACUGGAACGCCAGCAAACGCCUGAAAAAUAUGUAAAUUUCUCCUAAAUAUGUAAUUUUCUCCAAGUGUAUGAACAAAGAACAAAUACACGAAGUUCAUUUCUAUUGCUCCAAAUGUAUAACCAAGGCAAUGUCGCAUAAAAGUUCACAACACCGACAAAUGACGCACCAAAAGGCAUACCUAAUCGGCCCACGGCCAUAACUAAAUAUAGGUUAUAUUCGACCUCAUUUGAAUCGAUACCUAAUUGGCCCACGGCCACAACUAAGUAUAGGUUAUAUUCGACCUAGUUUGAAUCAACACCUAAUAGGCCUAUGGCCACAACUAAGUAUAGGUUAUAUUUGACCUAGUUCGAAUUAACACCUAAUCGGCCCACAACCACAACUAAGUACAGGUUAUAUUCGACCUAGUUCAAAUCAACAACUAAUCGGCCCACGACCCUAAUUAAGUGUUGGUUGUACUCGACCUCAUUCGAAUCAACACCUAGUCGGCCCACGGCCCUAAUUAAGCAUUGGUUAUACUCGAUCUUGUUCGAAUCAACAAGUAAUCGGGCCUCAGCCAUAGAUAAACAUACAAUACAUUCGACCACAUUCAAACUAACAUCCACUGACCCUCAGCCAUGAUCAAACCAAGGUUUUGUUUCAACCUCGUUCAACCCACUUGAGCUAAGUUAUUACGACUAAGGCAACCAAGCAACAAAAUCAACAAACAUACAAGCUUGAAUAGAAGAAAAAAGAAUCAGGUACGAGUAACACAACUAGUAUUUCAUACUUAGAAUAUUUUUUUACAAAGACUCGAAAAGAUGCCCACAAAAAAAAUGCACAAGUCUGCGGCUAAACAAAAAAAAAGAAAGAAAAAACUAAUAAUCGUUGCCUAGCCUAUCAGCAUCAUCAACUUGAUCACCUAAGCCAUCUUCAUCUGCCCCUUCGCCCUCACUAUCGCCAUCAGGUUACUCAUCCUCAUACUAGGCAUCCUCUUCAAUCUGAUCCACACUCACAUCCUCCUCAUCAUCACCGGCCUUCGGUAUAGCGGGAUCGUAGCCACAAGCAACCCGAGCCCUACAUGACUUAACACGAGCAUCCUCGAAGACGACCUCUGAAAUAGUUCCCACACUCAUUAGGUCUCUUAAUAUAUCUAGCUGGGCCUCGGCAUGAAUCCACUCCUCAUAUAUAUCUCGGGGAACAUUAGGAAAACCAGACCCACGAGAAAACGAUGACCGAACUAAUAAUUGGGCUUUCUCGGCUUCAAGAACGGUGACUCGAUCAAAAAAUCCAGAAGCCUCUUUUGCCAAUUUGCCAAUCCUUUCAUUAAGCCGCUUCUCCUUGAGCCUCACCAUCUCCAAGGCGUUUUCCCUCUCGGAACGCAGAACACGGACCAUGAUCUCCAAAGCCUUCGCCUUCCUUAUAGCCCCCAAUCGAGCUAACUCCGCCUUUUCAUGAUCUUCUGCCUUUUUAGCGACCUUGCUGAUUAAAGCAUUCAAUUUUAAUUGACAUUCUUCAAGCUCGGCACGCAGUGAGACCACCUGGGGUUGGAGAUUGCCGCAUUGAGCUUCCAAGACCUUGCUGACCUUGAGCUCUUCUUCUUUGGUUCUCAACGUUCCCUCAAGAAUGCUGCAUUUUUUGAUGACCCUCAUCAGCUCGUCAUCUUUCUCCUUCAAUUCGUUUUGAAGAGCCUAAAAUUGUUGUUAACCGCCUACAAAUCUCGUGGUGCUUGCCACAGUACUUACGGUAUUUUUUCUCCAUCUUCAGAAAAGGGCCUUACGCUUCUCCUCUCUCUGGGCACUCUUAAUUUCCAAAACCACAGUCUACAUAAAAAUAUAGAAAGAAGAAAACAAAAAGUAAGAACGGAGCACAAAAAUGUUGAACUUGAGAAACAAAAGACAAAACGCUUACUCUAAGAGCAAGGACGACUAUGCUCCUUGAUAGGGUAGAAUCAUCCAAUUUUUCAAGGGUUUUACCCUCCACUUCAGAAGAGGGGACCUAGUGAAGGAACCACGUUCUCCGUAUUCACCAACAAAUCUCGAUCCAUGGAGAUCGCAAUGGUCCGCGUGGCCUUUCUAGUCUCUCUUCAAGCCGGGUAAACCCUUCCCCCAUCAUCCUCAUCUCCUUGGUGUCAAGAUCACAACCCGUCUUAUGCCCAUCCUUAGCAACGCCUUUACCUAUCACGUUGACUGGAGAAGAAGGACCAUCAGCUGGUCGCGAGGUAGUUGGCUCAUCUUGCCGUAAAGUAUCAGAAACCCUCGCAGUAGAAACCCUCGCAGACGGUGUCUCGAUUUCUGUCGUGGCAUCAGGAAAAGGCACACCCUCUACGGCCUCAACCAAGGGCGGAAUCUCAAAUGACAACUCGACAUCAUCCUCAAGCACUAUGGUCGUUGUCUCACGUAUGACGUAAUCACCAUGGUUAAACCUAUAGCUCGGGUAACCCUAUCGCUACCUUCCAUCGGCCUUCUUUUACGGGGAACCAAAUCCUCGCUGCCCAGCGAUGACUCCCCUUAUUUGUCUACAAGACGAUAAGUACCCGCAGGUGGAGAAGAAACCGAUGCAGAGGCAGCAUCAGAUGGGGUCGACAACCGAGUGGACCUGGCCGCAGUUGACGUAGGAACACAAGGAGAUUCUCGAGCUGACUUAGCUGCAACCACAAUAGGAACAGAUUCCAAAGGAGAAGCAGCCUUCCUCUUAGGAAAAUUUACCUUUUCAUCAACAUUCUUGCUUACAUUAUUCCAUACUUUUUCAUCAGAUUUGAGAAUAGUCUGAAUAUUCUAUGAUUUAUCUGUCACUCAUCAUUGUUAGGGGGAACACUCAUCUAGCUCAUGCAUUGUUGGGUGAAAAAUUAAUCUUAUUUACUUAAAUGUUAUUUGUUGUUAUUUAUUGCUAGUCACUCCUUUAUUAUUUCUCACUUUCUUUGGAUAUUCAUUGAUUGUUAUUAUUAAUUCUUUUCCAUAUCUGUCUACACGUUAAUCACUUCUUCGGAGUUUGCAUCUGGGAAAAUUAUUGUUAACUAAGUUUAAUCCUUCAAUAAACAAGUAUAAUUAUUUUAAUCGGAAGGUAACACUUUUUUGGUCAAACAGUUUGGUUAUUAGUUAUCCCAUAUAGUUGUCCCACUUUUUAUAUGGGAUAGUUACAUUAUUUUAGUAUAAAAUAAUUCAUGGGACUAAUUAAUGCCAAUAAGCAAAUUCGAGAUAAAAUAAUAUUGCAUUUUAUCCCAAAAUUGUUAUCUCUUAUCCUACCUGCCAAGCGUCUCCUUAAAGUGUAAUGAAAAUCCCCUUCACCAUAUUUCACUUGAGGGACUACUUGCAAAAGUUUGUUUCCGCAAAAAUAGAAGUGCAUAAAUUUGUUCUCAUUUGGCGACAAUCUUAUGAUUUCUAUAAAACUAUCUAUUUUAAUGAGGUGAUUAUGCAAUGAUUAAACUUGUAUAUGUAUAGGCCAAAAUCUGCCUUAAGGGAAUUUAGUGUAAAGCGACAUUAAGAAAAAGAUGCAGUCGAGGUCGACCAGGAAGCAGUGGGAUUCGUGGCCGGGCUGUCAACAACGAUCGAGGUCGAGCACCAAGGACAGAACAAUAACGACUAGUUUUUGUAAUCAGAUAUUAAAGAGAAUAUUCUAUUGAAUAUUCUCUGCACUUGUACUAUUAGGGUUUUUUAGGGACAUGUCUCAUAGAAAAAGAGAUAAUUGGGGAAGGCAUGUAACAUUGACUUGAUAAGAACACUUUUCAGAAGAAGAUUCUCUCUCUCUAGCAAAGAUACAAGCUUUACCUUUUACAAUAUUCUUACACACAUUAUCCCAUACCUUUCCAUCAGAUCCGAGAAUAGUUUGAAUAUUUGAAAAUUUGUUUGUCAUUCAUCAUUGUCAGAAGGAACAAUCAUCCAUUUCAUUCAUUAUUGGGUGAAUCGUUCCCCCUAUUUACGUAAAUGCCAUUUAUUAUUAAUUAUUCCCCCAUUGUUAUCCAUAUCUUUUGGAGUAUUAAAUGUGUUUGAUUUUCAAUCUCUCACCGAUUUUAUCCAAUAUCAUCUAAACUGUCAUGUUCUAUAUCUAGAGAUAUUAUUAUUAACUAAGUUUAACCCUUCAUUACAUAAAAUUUAAUAGUUUAACUGAAAGUUUAUAUUUUUUGGUCAAAAAAUUUGGUGCCGUCUGUGAGGAUUUUCUAGUUAAAUAUUUAGUUUCCUCUAGAUCUACAACUAGCAUGGAUUGCUAACAAAAAAAAAAGAACAAAAUUCCUUUUCCUUAUACGCACAGAUCCGAUAUGGCAGGUAAUGGAGAAGAAAGAAAGAGGGUAAUAGGGACCUCACAACCAACCUCUUGAACACAAUCAAUGAGGUUUCUGAAAUAGAAGGUGAGGAUAUAACGCCUAAUGCCUCUCCCAGGCGAGGCACGCCACCUCAUUCUCAAGGUAGUAUCGCAACGUCUCGCGGUAAAUGAGCUUCCAUGUCCGGAUGGAAGAGGCGCCACCAACAGUAAAAAACCUCCUCGAGUCUUGGCUAACUGACAUGCUAACCAGCAUCCUCCACAAGCCCGCUCAAGAUACAGUUAUAGAAAAUGCAAGGACUUGCACUUCAUGAAUAACGGUCGAGCAACGUGGCCCGUUCCCUCCUCCAAUGAUAGGUAUUACUCAUAACACUAUUAAUAGUGUUGGUGACGACACCCUCACAUCCAUUUUGAAAAAGAUGGCGGAAAUGGAGAACGAGAACAAAGUGCUUCGGGACCAAAUGAGAGAACACCAAGAAGGGUUGAUAAAAUAUCGAGUUCCCCAAAGCUCUUGCCAAAGAGAGAUGUUGGUCGGUUUGUCGAUCAACCAUACAGUGAUGAAGCCGCCCCGCAUGCCAUACCGAAGACCUUCAAAAUGCCGACCUACCUAAAAAUAUAUGAUGGUACGACCAAUCCCGAAGAUCAUGUAACUCACUAUGUCACCGCCGUGAAAGGCAACGACCCCGCCAAGGAACAAGUAACCUCCAUUUUGAUGAAAAAAUUCGACGAGACCCUCACUGGAGGAGCAUUAACAUGGUAUUCUCAGCUGCCCAUGCGUUCCAUUGAAACAUUCGAAGCGAUGGCUGAUAAGUUCGUAAUGGCCCACGUCGGGGCCAAAAAGACAGAGGCAAGAGUGAACGAUAUAUUUGCUAUCAAAUAAUCACUGAGAGAAGGAUUGAGGGACUUCCUUGCCCGAUUCAACCGAGUAAGAAUGAACUUACCAAAUGUAUCGAAAGGAAUGGCCAUCGCAGCUUUCCAGAACGGGCUAAGCAGAAAUGGUUCAAGGGCGACAGGAAAGUUGUUAAGUCGGCUUAUUAAGUAUCUCCCAACUACUUGGGAUAAAAUACACAAUGCCUAUUGUGCCGAGGUUAGAGUAGAUGAGGACGACCUCAAUAGGCCGACUUACCGAUUGACCUCGAUACAAGCAGAGUCCAUAAAAGAUUAAAGAAACGAUGCCAGAAGGGACCUCGUAGCUCCACAACCCAAUCGGAAAUGAAAUAUACCAUAUGUCAGAAGCGCCAUUGUACCCCCUUCCCACUGCGAAGAGCGCCCACCUAGACCAAGGACAGGGACUUACCAGAAUGAGGGAGGUAUGCCCCCUUUGUUAUCCGCUCACAAUUUAUGUGUGUCACCUUCAGAAAUGGUCUACGCAUUGGAGAAACUCGGAUCAAAGGUAAUGGCCACAAAAAAUGAGGUCAGAUCCACGCACCAGAAAGUCAGACACCCUUUGCAAGUUCCACCAAGAACGAGGGCACAAAACUGAGGACUGCAUCGCCCUAAAAUAGGAGGUCAUAAACAUGCUUCGACAAGGACACCUUAAGGAAUUGCUGAGCAACCGGGGAAGUGCCAAAUUUUCCAUAGGAUGCGAACAACAUCAAGGACCACCGAAACCGCCCUCACGAACCCGCACCAUCCAAAUGAACAUCGGUGGCGGCGACAAUGCUACUAUCAAACGUGUAAAGUUCACCACAACCCAUAAGCUCAAACUGUCGAUCACUCACGAACGGUAUGACGAACUCGAAGAAAGUACCAUCUUUGAUAAGUCAGAUAGAUACCUACUGUUUGGUUUUCCUUUACUAUGAUGCCCUUGUUCUCACUUUACGAAUUUUAGAUACAGAUGUGAGAUGCAUUAUGGUAGACGAUGGGAGCGGCGCGUGCAUUAUCCACCCUCGGGUACUUGCACAAAUGAAAGUCGAGGAUAAGAUAGUGUCGUGUUGUAUCAUACUAAUGUCACACCUCCUUUUUACCACCCCGAGGAAGGGGCAUCUUGGAGUUUUUUCCAAUUUAAGUAACAAUCGAAACGGAAUUAUUUUUAUAUAAAAUCAGAGUCGCCACUUGGGAUAAUUUAUGGUGUCCCAAGUCACCGGUUCAAAUCCCGAAUCUAGGAAAGAUUGACUCUAUUUUAUAGUCCGCGAAACACAGAAAUUCAGGUAAGGAAUUCUGUUAAUCCGGGAGAAGGUGUUAGGCAUUCCCGAGUUCUGUGGUUCUAGCACGGUCGCUCAACUGUUAUUAUUGGCCUAUUUAUUUGAUUUUAAAACACCUUUGAAACCUAUGUGCAUUUUUAUUCCUUCUAAACCGCUUUUAAUAAUCCAAUUGUCAUACAGCUAAUUAUUUAAUUACUCGUUGCAAAUCAUGUCACGAGAGUCGUACCCACGAUCGACAAUAUGUUCAUUUUAUUAACAAGAUUAAAUUAUAACCGGGUAACAUAAAUGUACCCCCGGAUUUAGAAAUUAGGCAAUCACAACUACGUCACGGGAACCGUACCCGUAGCUAUGACAAUUUAUUUACAUAAACGUGCCUAAAGCAAACUACGAACGUUCAAGGCAUUUUAUACACGAGUUAAGAUAAUUAAUAUGAGGGCCAUAGAUUAUGUGAUUCAAUUGUAUGAAUGGCACGCCUCAGUUUUAUUAAAAGGAAAGCUAUUCCUAACAAUCUAAGCACGUCGUAGGCAUGAAUCAAUAACUCAAAGAAUUAUAUUCCAAAUUGAAGUAUGAUUGAAAUUAUCCUCCCGCUGACAUGAAAACUUAUUUAUUUUAUACCUUUUUUUAUUCCCAAUCCCACCCAAAAUUCCAAGUACUCAAACUUAUAUUUUUUUUCAAAAACUCACGCCACUACUAAAUAACUCAUUCAUAUAUUUAUGUAUCUAGUUAAAAUAAACGAAAAUCCUAUUGUAUUAACUUAAACCAUUUACCAUACUCAAAAAUAUUAAAUUAACGAGUACAAUAAGAUAAGAUAGCCCUUCAGGCGUGAAAAACAUGUUCAAGCAUUAAAAGCAAACUUAAAUCUAACAUGGAAUCAUCGUUCACAAAAGCAUAGAAGAAACAAAGAUGAAGGGUAGACCUCAAAUGAAGGAUCUGACUUUUAUUAUUGUGAAACUCAACAACGAGCCGAACCGCGACAGAAUUCAACAACGGACCUCGAAUCAGCACCUCGGAUCUACUAACGGAAAGCUCGUCGGCAAGACUCGAAUACGUGGUGGAGUUAUGGGGCUGGAUUUUGGUGGAGGUUUGUGUUGAUUAUAUGUGGCUGACAGUGAUGCUUUUCUUACGAUGGGUUUGUGAUUGUUUGGCCAGAGAUUUGCAGCUGCAUUUCAUUGAGCUUUUCUUACGAUGGGUUUGUGAUGCUUUUAAAUGCUUUUCACUGAGCUUUUUAUUGAGCUUUUAAGAGCUUCGUACAUGGAGUCUCUAUUUGUGCUUUAGCGCCGAAGAAGAUGAAGGGCAGGGUCAUUAUUGUUCUGUUUUGCGGCUAAUGUCUUUAGGCGCUGAGAAGACGAAGAAUGGGGAUGGUCUUUGGGUGGAAAACGGAAAGUUGAGGGUGGUUGUUUGUGAGAUGGCCGCUUUGUUUUUGCUCAGCCAAAAUCCAUGAAAAUGGCUGCUUUGUUUUCAGAAGGAUACAGAUCAGUGGGGGGAGGGUCCUCUGUUGAAAACGGUGCCCAUGGUUAUUUGUAUAUAGGUCUAGGUUUUCUAAGGAAAUUGUAUGAUAUAUAUAUAUCUAUGUGUCUAUCGGGUCAGAUCCCUGCCCCAUUUUCUUUUGGUACCCAUUAAAUAUAAUAUGUAUG
rnacentral:lncRNA from 1 species